GGGAAUAUAGCUCAGCAGCAUAAGUGCCUGCCUGGCAAGCAGAAGGUCCUGAGUUCGAUUCCCAGUAUCA
rnacentral:tRNA from 1 species